UACGGAGGAUCCGAGCGUUAUCCGGAUUUAUUGGGUUUAAAGGGUGCGUAGGCGGUUUGUUAAGUCAGCGGUCAAAUGUCGGCGCUCAACCCCGUCGUGCCGUUGAAACUGAUGUUCUUGAGUGGGCGAGAAGUAUGCGGAAUGCGUGGUGUAGCGGUGAAAUGCAUAGAUAUCACGCAGAACUCCGAUUGCGAAGGCAGCAUACCGGCGCCCAACUGACGCUGAAGCACGAAAGCGUGGGUAUCGAA
rnacentral:rRNA from 1 species